UACAGCCCGAGACAGACUUCCUUGGGCGGCCAAUCCCACGGCAGCAAUCAGCUCCAGCCCCAGAAGCUCAGCCCUCGGAGCGUGAUGCCAUCGAGAGCCAAAUGGGCAAAGCUGUGGGGCGCAGUGAUGUGUGGUUCCGCUUCAACGAGGGGGUGUCCAACGCUGUGCGGAGGAACCUCUACGUCAGGGACCUGCUGUAGCAGCCAGGGGACUGAGCCAGGGUUGACAGAGGGAAUGGAUGAGCUGACUUCUCACAGGGAGUGAGGGAUGGUGCUGAUGUAUUUGUGUUUCUUUUUUUAAUGCCGGUGUUGUUUAAAAAAAUAAUAAAAAUAAAGUAUAAAAGUUAACAAAAGCA